rnacentral:rRNA from 1 species
UACGGGGGGGGGCAAGCGUUGUUCGGAAUUACUGGGCGUAAAGGGCUCGUAGGCGGCCAACUAAGUCGGACGUGAAAUCCCCAGGCUCAACCUGGGAACUGCGUCCGAUACUGGAUGGCUUGAAUCCGGGAGAGGGAUGCAGAAUUCCAGGUGUAGCGGUGAAAUGCGCAGAUAUCAGGAGGAACACCGAUGGCGAAGGCAGAUCUCUGGGCCGUAACUGACGCUGAGGAGCGAAAGCGUGGGGAGCAAACAGG